rnacentral:snRNA from 1 species
AGAUGUGAGGACAGUUUGACUGUGACACCUGUCACCCCUUUGACCAUCAGGGCUGACUCCUUUGCAAAGGUUGCUUAGUUGGGAGUCUCCCUCCUCCCUCACUGCUCUGUGUGCUUCCCUUGCAAAGCUGAACACUCAGUGGGUCGAAGAGGAUGACCUUCCCUGAAUAGAGGAGGACCGAUCUUUGGUCAAAAGGUUCCAAGUAGCUGUGCUCCCCUAACAGAAUCUACAAACAAGCUCUCAAGUGUUGAGAGGAGCAGAGGGCUGCAUCCCCAGCACCCAGAUGCCCGCAUGGCUAGCUUAUGC